UUUGCGUUUGGUUCAUUGUUUGCCUUCACAUCUGACGAGAGUUCGCGUGUUUCCCCCCUCUCUACCCACUCCGAAGUACAACUCCGCUGGUGAGCUCCAUUUAGCGCCGCCACGACCUCCUCUUUUCCCAUCACCACCGUACCACUUCCUCUCUUCCCCUCAAACCCACCACCACCGACCACCUCUUCACCGUCAGAAUCGCGUCGCCACCUUCACUUCAACCUAAAUCGAGCACCACAACCAUCGCUCCCUCUUUUUACAGAUCGCUCCACCGCCGCCGCCUUUCAUCCUUUUACCCCAAUUUCCAGCGAUUUCCGACGUCACUGAGCAGAGGACUUACUUUCCACGAUCUUCGGCGUGCUCUCGUGGAUCCUCCGAUGAUGGUCAUCACGUCGCCCUUACGUGGAUUUGCCUAUAAAUGCUCACACAACCCUCACUCCACCACAAUUCAGGAAGCCAGCUCUUAAUUCUUCUUUACAGGAUGUCCAUUGGUUGGUUGUUCAUUGUUCAUGAGUUCCCCUUCAUGCGUUCCCCUUCUCAGGAAUGGGGGCAUAUCUUUCAUUUGCUACAAUUUCUUCUGAAUAUCUGACCUGACCAUAAGCCAACAACACAAAAUUGUCUCCAAGAACCACAAAAGGACAACAGGUUUGUCAAUAUGAUCCGCUGGUAGUUUCAUAUAUGGGAUUGAAUCUUCUGAUUAAUUCAUGUUGCUGGUUUAAAUACUGUUGUGGAUGUUUGCUUGCUGGAUCAGAUGUUUGAGUAGGGGUUAAGCACUAUCUGUUUUGGUUCUGCUUUUACUGCUGAUGUUUUGUGCGGUUCUGGUGCAAUGCCAGCAAAGAAUUGGAGCUGUUUGGGAUCUGGUUUUCCUUGCUCUGGCUGUACAGUUCUGGAUUAGUUCAAUGAUAUAGUUGACACCAUUGGAACACAAGAACAUCAUGGAAGUUUACGUCUACUAACAACACUUAACACUUUUCGCUAAGAUGUUUACCUCUAGGACUCUAAGAUUGUGUACAUUCUUAAACACAUAAAGGUUAACAUCUGUUAAGCAUUAGUGCAGGCAGAUUUUUGAAGGACUCAUAUCUCCACAGCCAUUACCCUCCUGUUAUCAAUAGAGAUCCCAACUGUGAUAAAAUAUUCAUUAAUGGUAACCUAGGGUAGUCAAAAUUGAUGAUGUUGGCCCUCUCUGAUUCUCUGUAAGCCUAAAGCUGUUCAUUAUGUUGGUGGGUAAGUGGACAUCAAAGCCUUUAAUUUUAGUUCAAGCUGUGAAUAUAAAUAUGUGACAUUUUUCUUCUUUAUAAAUAGUCUGUCUCGAUUCAAAUGCUUCAGUAUGUACAGUGUGAUUUGAUUGUUGGAAACAAAUUGUAGUGAGAGCUUUAUAGAUGGAAACAUUGAUAGUAAAGGAAUGUAAUAUAAGCACAAUAUUAUUUGAUUGUUGGAAACAAAUGUAUGAUAUGUUUUGGUUUCUUUAA